rnacentral:lncRNA from 1 species
CUACAGUGCCUCGGUGCUUCUUUUGCCCAUAAGGUGUUCGGUGAAAUGCUUGUGACAGUUUAGCUUGCUCCUUUGGGCCCGCUUUCUUCGAUGCGUCCGACCCUCAACAAAUAUAAUAUCCCUCUUUUCCUAAGCAAAUAGGCCAGUUGUGUGUGUGUGUGUGUGUCUGUGUUUUUGUUCUCUCAACAAGCAUGGCUAGUUUGCUUUUGUCACAUGGAAUGAAGUAUAUCAAGAACGUGCCUCCUUUUGGAGACUACUACUUGAUCAUCACAUGAGGUCUCACGUAGAUGCAUGAUGUGGUGAAAGGCCCAACACCAACUGUGACGACGACUUUGCAACUGUUGAUGAUGACUAUGGCUACCCUGAAGGCGAUGGCUGCAUUGGAGGCGUGAUGACGAUGGCAGCAUACACCAAAGAGAUGAACACUCUAAUGACCUCGACGGUGCAUGCAUGACCAUACAGGCCGAUCUACAUAUUCUAUGCCUUAGGAUAUAAUGGGAGUGGCAGAGAAGAAAGACUAAAGCCACCAAUUCCAUGUUAACUGCAGGGAUGGCAUCUAACUUAUUUUGGGCCCCUUUGAUGACAGGAG